GGCGGCAUGCUUAACACAUGCAAGUCGAACGGCAGCGCAGUGUGUAGCAAUACACAUGGGUGGCGAGUGGCGGACGGGUGCGUAACGCGUAGGAAUCUACCCUGAAGCGGGGGACAACCCGAGGAAACUCGGGCUAAUACCGCAUAAUCUCGCGAGAGAAAAGCUGGGGCAACCUGGCACUUCAGGAGGAGCCUGCGUCCGAUUAGCUAGUUGGUGGGGUAAAAGCCCACCAAGGCGAUGAUCGGUAGCUGGUCUGAGAGGAUGAUCAGCCACACUGGGACUGAGACACGGCCCAGACUCCUACGGGAGGCAGCAGUGGGGAAUAUUGGACAAUGGGGGCAACCCUGAUCCAGCAAUGCCGCGUGAGUGAAGAAGGCCUUCGGGUUGUAAAGCUCUUUUGUCAGGGAAGAAAAGGUGCGGGUUAAUACUCUGCGCUCAUGACGGUACCUGAAGAAUAAGCACCGGCUAACUACGUGCCAGCAGCCGCGGUAAUACGUA
rnacentral:rRNA from 1 species